GGCCAGCAUCAGUUUUACGGUGGUUGGAUAAAUCCUUUGGAAUGUGGCUUGCCUCGGCGAGUGUUAUAGCCUAUGGGAAUACAGCCAGCUGGGACUGAGGAUUGCGACGUUUUGUCAAGGAUGCUGGGUAAU
rnacentral:rRNA from 1 species